rnacentral:tRNA from 1 species
GUAGAAAUGGCUCAGCAGUUAAGAGCACUGGCUGCUCUUCCAGAGGACCUGGGUUCAACUCCCAGCACCCACA